UACGUAGGGUGCAGGCGUUAAUCGGAAUUACUGGGCGUAAAGCGUGCGCAGGCGGUCUUUUAAGUCAGAUGUGAAAUCCCCGGGCUUAACCUGGGAACUGCAUUUGUGACUGCACGGCUAGAGUGUGUCAGAGGGGGGUAGAAUUCCACGUGUAGCAGUGAAAUGCGUAGAUAUGUGGAGGAAUACCGAUGGCGAAGGCAGCCCCCUGGGAUAACACUGACGCUCAUGCACGAAAGCGUGGGGAGCAAACGGG
rnacentral:rRNA from 1 species